CCUUAUUCAUCACGAUAAAUGUGCGUGAUUAACAUUGCAUUCUUGGCUGAACGCGGAAGACUAAACAACAUUCAUAGCGUGUUGGCGGUACUGUCCAACUAAGUGUAACAAAGUAAUUAUCAGUGGRGAUACUAAGCAAGGACUUUUAAAGCAAGGAAGUUUGAACCUAUAGGRAAACAAAGCUCUACAUCUAUGGACGGAAAUGAAGGAGUUAAACACGCAAUCAAGGGAGUUGAAAAUCUACGAAUGAAGAAGAAACGGAAAGAAAUUAAAGAUAGUUCACUUAUUUGUUGAGUAAAUUAACGCGUAUUAGUGGAAGUUGAACAACUUUGUUCGUUUGUUUACUGCUCGUGUUUUUCUUGCCCUGAGGCAGAAAGGUGCUUGACAAUUAGGUUGGACGGCCGUUAUGUGUCUAAUUGAGCUGAUCUGCGCGGUAUAUCAAGCAAAUYAAAUGCAUCUGCUAAUCAUAAGACUCAGGAAACAUUCUGAGUCUUGAACGGGAUUUGAACCCGUGCCCUGGCGAUUCCGGUUUCAAACCUUGGCUGGUACUAGAGUGCAGAACAUAUAUCCGUGAAAUAGCACAGAAAAUAAAUAGUACUAAACACA